UUCUUUGCCCUUCCCCUGCUCACACUCUGUCACUCUCUGUCUCUCUCAAAAAUAAACUUUAAAAAAAUUGAAAAGCUAAGUGAUAAGCCAUGGACCAGGAGAGAAUAUUUGCAGCCAGUACAGUUGACCAAGGGUUAUUAAUGAUAAUAUUUGAUGGACUCCCUCAUCUCAGGAACAAAAAAGACAACCCGAUAGAAAAAUCGGCCAAAGCAAUGAACAAUGCGCGGAAAAGGAAAUCUGAAAAGUAACCGGGAACAUGCAAAUCGAAACAAUGACCUGCCAUUUUCCAUGUCAGAUUGACAAAAAAAAUCCAACUUUGAGAACAUCCGAUGCUUCACAGGGUGUGGAAAUGUGGGCCCAGUAAAACAUUGCUGAUGGGAUAUAAAAUCGCUUUAGAGAGCAAUUUGGCAAUACCCACACAGCUGAACAAAGGCUUACAAAACAAUUCCAGUGUCGACAUCCGACCUAGAGAAACUCUCAAACAAGCAAAGAGGAAAUAAGUAAAUAUACAAGGAUGUUUGCUGCAACACUUUAAAUAAAAAGAAAAAUAUGGAAACAACUGUCUAUCAGUUAUGGAUUAAAAAAAAAAAACCUGUAAAAAGAAUACGAAAAUAGCAACUGUAAGAAAUGAAAGUGUGUGUGUGUGUGUGUGUGUACCUACAUAAGCUAAAAAGCAAAAUGUUGAGUGAAAACAAGUUGGGAGAAACUUAAGGCACAUGAAAAUUACACAUGCCAACUGUAGAACACUGAUUAUUUCUGGGAAGGGAGAGUGAGAAAAAGAAUAGGACUAGGAUGACUGUAUAUCUACAGUGAUUUAUUAACAGUAAAAGAGUGAUUGCUAGCAAAGAUGGCAAAAUGUUGACGUCUGUUAAAUCCACGUAGUACGUGAGUGUUUAUAAGAUUAUUUUUCACACUUUAUAUAAACAAAACAUUUCAUAAUGAAAGCAGAAGAAAAAGAUCAUGGCCUCAUGCUCAUGGUAAUAUUUCAACUGAAGUAAUAUUUGACCCCUCCCACUCCCCAGAUGAACUGCACCCAGAAUGCAGCAAGGGCUUUCUCUAAGGCCAGAGCUCUACAACACUCUGUAUGGAAAGAGUUGACUCACAAGUGGGGCUCCUGGUGAGGAAGAAGACAGAUGUUGAAGUAGCUGUGGGUCUUGGCAAAAGGCAAGGAGGGAAAAGAGGAGACCGGGGCAAACCGAAUGAAUGAAUUCCAUCCUGAGGAUGUCUGUGUAAACCAAGCCAGAUGGAACCUGUGAAUGCAUGUGCUCUCUUCCCACACCCCCUCCAGAUGACAGCCAUGAAACAGGUCGUUCCCUGGAUCAGAUUCGUAGGAGGCACCGGAGUCCGUCCGACGGUCAACGUGGAAGCAGAUGUGAGCUGGCAAUUGUGCAGCGGCGAAAAGAAAACACUCAUUUGGUUUGCCUCCUUGGGUUUCACUUUGCGCCUCUCCAGACUGUCUUCUCCCCGACUUCCACUAGAGGGCGCCGAGCCCCCAGCUGUGCCGGCUCUCCAAGUAGGGGUCUUUUCUGAUCCUGGUCCCAGGGGCCUGCUGCAGAGACUCCAGAGGAUUCUGGAUCCAGUUUGGGGUUCAGGGUUCCCUCAAAAGGUGAUCCUUCGACCCCCUGGAGAGGGUGGGGACCUGUGAGAGCCUUAUACUUCAGGACUGGGAUUUCGGAAACCCCAAUGAAGGCUUUCUUUUUUGAUCUUCUCUGUUUCAAAAGGGCACUGGCAGAGAUGAAUUAUGUUGGAUCCCAGGUCUCUGGGGACUCUACUUCCUGAACCCCGAUUGCCAGGCCCCUGCAAACACAUAUGUGCUUAUGGGAGCACUAGACUGGAAUAUUUGAAACCAGAACUCCAGAAAAUCCACAACAGAUGUUUUCCCUGAAAGACACAGGCUCUCUAUCACCGAGCCCCCGGGGUCUCCCUGCCCCCUGCCAGCCAUGCUCCUGCAUUGGCAUUGUGUGGGUGAGGGGGAUCACGCCUGACUUAAAAUUCUAAUGGACAGGUCAGUGCUUCCUGGGGCUGUAAGUAGGCUCCCUCUCAGCAUGCUCUGUAAGCAGGAAGGUAUGAUGAAUGUCUACCAACCCUGUCCUGCCUGCCCCAUUCUUUGUUUCUCCAGGUUCUGUGUUUGAGGACCUAAUUUUGAGCGACCUGCCCCUGUUGAAAUUACUUCUGCCACUUUGGAACGUCUGCUGAGAAUAACCAGGAUCCGCAUUUCCACUGCACUUUGUGCCUCACAACAUACUUUUGCGGGUACUGUGCCAUCGGAUACUUCCGUGUCCAUAAGGCAUGACUCCUCCCCUUCCCACCUCACGGAUGAGAACAACAAGGUCCAGAACGAGUAAGGGCUGACCCUGGGACUUGAACUCACAUCAUGUGAUUCAAAAGGGAUUGCACAUAUAUUUGGGGAUCUUGGCAAUAUUAAGAAUUCAUUUGGGUUUGACUCCAGGGAAACCCUUCAGACUCCCCGAGCUUCACAUGGGUGUGCAUUAUGAGGAAAUUAUGACAUUCCCUCCAGACACUCUUCAGAAAAUGGCAGCACGUAUUUUUCCUGGACUGGUUGAAGGGCAUCCUUUCUUAGGGCAGCGGGAUGGACUGGACAAGCCCUGGAGGUAGCUUCUAGCCGUUCUGUUCUGCGGAACAAAGCAUCCAGAAAUAGACGAAUCGGUCCCUUUUACCCCAAUAACAUUUGUGGCUAACUGUAUGAAAACAAGCCAUUUCCAGUCUAAUUCAUAACUACCGUAGAGUCGUUUUAGGAGGUGCUCAUCUCAGUAAUAGAUUCAAAAAUUCUCUCCGGCUUAAGACCUCAUUGUUCUGGAGCACGGCGGCUGUCCCGCGUGAAGCAUGCAGUUCUCCCCGUGGCCACAGGGUGGCGGGGUGACCUUAAGCUUCUUCCUCGCCUUUGGACAGGAAACGCAGCUCUCAUCAAAAUGAGCAAAAUGGAGCAAGUCGAGCGGGUUCAGAGUGACAUACACUUCACGUUUAUAACCCCUUAAGAAGGGAGCGGCAAGCGCUCUGUUUCCAGAAUGUCAGCGAUGGGAGGUAGUGAGGAGAGGGGAUGCUGGGUUCUGAGGCAGUGGAAGAGGCUCGUAGUGUGGAGGGCCCGGUCUACUGCAGCCCAUGGCCCGGUUACCUGGCCGAGGCCGAGGGGGCCGUGCCCUGCGGAAGCCCACCGUUGGGCCUUCCAAAACUAUUGCUGUUCCCCUUCUCUGUCUCGGAACGUUCUUUCCUGGGGCUCUGUUUUUAUAGAUUGUCCCCAGGAUGUCCUCGUUAUGUCUUAAAGGGGUGCUUUGUGCUGUAUAAGUUGGGGAGGGGUGUGAUGCACCCUCCAAUGGGCAGCAACCCCUUUGUGAGCCUCAAAUUGAGACAUAGGCUUCUGACAUGAGGGGCCGUAUUUUGGGGGAACGGUGAGGAGAUAUUUAAAUGUGAAUUCUGGGUUGUACAGGCACCUCCCACCCACACACGGUGGAAGCCUAGAGAGACUUGAGGGAGCAUUUACUUCUUGCCUACUGUGUGCAUCAUGAUGCAGGUGCGAACUUCCGUGGGGCCAACGCGGACCUUACUAGGUGCCCACGGUAGGCGGAUUGAGCAGGAGCCUGACCCACCCCACUGAUGCCCACAUGGAAACUGUGAGCUUUCACCUCCCGCACUUCUGCCAAAGCCCUGGAUGCCACCGUGUGGAGACAGCAGAGGUUUAGUGUCAUUAGCUCUAGUCUUCUUAGCCGGCCUGGCAGAAGCGAUGUUGAAUUUCAACGUGGGAAGUUUCCAAGCACAUCUUGAGGGAUGCAGGAGCCUCUAACACUUUUCUGUAGACGUGAUUAAUAUUCCUUUGCUCAAAUUUGAGACCCACGGGUGGGUGUUUGUGUAUCAGGCCCACGCACACAUAACACACACAUGCCACGGAAUGGGGAGGCAUUGCCGUUCGGGUUUCAAGACGGAGGCUGCGUGUAAUAGCUUCUUUCCUCCUUCUGGAUUCGCUUUCGCUUCCAUAUUUAUGUCAUUCACUUAUUAAUCGUUUGCAGGUAUUCUCAGAACACCUACUGUGUGCCAGGCAAAUUAAAAUGAGUCAGAGUCAAGCUUAUUUUUAGAAAAAGACAGACCCCAGGGAAUCCAUCCUUUUUUUGGUAGGGAAAAGGCAGGGCUGAGCCGUGUGGCUGAGAACGCGGGUCUGGAGCUGCCGCCUGGGUGGGAGUCCUGGUGCAGGUGCUCCCUGUCUGUGUGUGGUUCGCUCAGCUUCAUCUUCGUAUGUGGGUAAUGGUAGGACCCACAUCACUCUGUUGUCGUCAGGAGCAAACGAACGAGUAAGAGGGGCUCUGUACCAUGCACGUGGAAAGAACACAAUACACACAGAGCCCUUACUCUUCUUUUCUCCUUGUGAACUAAAGCUCCCCAGGAUGCUCGUUAGGCUGAGAUCUCUCCUGUGCUUAUGGACCAGCUAACAUGGAGACUGAGGAUGAACUGGACCCGGCUGUUUCUGUUCUGGUUGCUGGGGGCAGCUGAGGAGGCCUGUCAUCGCGGCCAGCAGGGAAGAAGCAGGUGGUGACAGAAUGAGCUCAGUGAUGAGCCAUCCCUCUGGUGAGUGGAGCAGGGGGGUGAAGACGGGCGACCCCUGCUGUGGCCCCGACUCUGAUCGAGGUGACUGCCUGGGAGUCACCAUCCUCCUGAGACAUCACUUGCCGGUCUUUACACAAACUGCAGUCCCUUAAGGAGAUUGUGACCCUCAGAAACAAAGAAGGACCCUUCUUCGGUCAAGACGAUUCUAGGGCAUCAGGAGAUCACGUUUAGAGACAGUCCAAGCUCUGGUUUCUGAGGGAUCCCCCAGGUCAUGGAGCCCCCGUGUCACCUUUUAGGGCUCAGUGAUCGCGGCACAUGCUGGUGCCCAUGGAGCAAGGCACCCCUGACAGGGUAGAGUCUACACAUUUCAGUCGGGUCUUUCUAGAGUUGUGGCUUCACCCUGGUUCUUCUAACCUCAUCCCUGAAGAUGUGUGGGAAGGAGCCAUGUGCAUUCUUCCCCAAGCCUUGAGUCCCCUGGGUCAAGAAUGAGUGACCCCAAGCUCUCAGGAGAGGGGGGGGGGCAGCUCCUGUAAGGGAGGCUCCAAAUGGCUGUGAGCUGAGAUCCACUGGGGGGCUUCAGGCUGCCCUAAAACCAGGCCUGCAGUGGCUAAUGGGCAGGUGUGGUGGAAUUGUGGGUAGCUCGGUGACACCUCGGUGCCACUCAAGGGGGUGCUUUGUAAACGUCUUCUGGGAGAGCGAUGGGGAGAGGGCAUGAGUGAGCAAGAAGGCCCAACACCAGGCCCCAGAGGGGCGAUGAGAUACCAUAGGAGGGGUGAAGCUGGGGAUCUGAGGUUCUUUGUUAGCCAGGUGACCUUGAGUAGGCUAUUUCACCUUGUGGGGCCUCACUUUUCAAACCUAUAAAACAGGAAGAAAAAAUGUUGCCUCCAUCACUAGGCUGGAUCAACACGAGUCCAGCUGCUGUGUGCAGGUGGCCGUGCUCCUUGAACAGAGGCUUCUGCUCUGGGACUGGCCUGUCUGCAUUGCCCAUCCAGGCAUUCCUGGGGUGCCCCCUGCCUGCCUCCAGCUCCGUCUGUCCCAGGUGAGGAGCACUUGAGCUGUCUGCAGCCCGUCCGUCCUCAUCACACGGCCAACACGUGGCCUUUCAGGAGCUAGGUCCAGGUCAGGCUCGAAGUCAUCAAGCUCUGACCUCACCAAACUUCCUCCUUCCUCACUCUGCCUUCCACGUGUGCUGUGCUCCCUCAUGCUGAGGUCCCUGUGGGGCGCCUCACCUUUGCUGACACCCUUUCCUUCACCCAAACCCUCAGGUUCCUCAGUCUCCAGGACUGGUUGCCGUUCAGCCAACGGGGCAACACAGGCUUCAUGGUGGUAACACCAUAACCUCCCACCCCCUCCCACCGUCAAUCCAAAGUGCUCUCUCUGCAGUGCCUCAAGGUUGGCAUAAAGAACAAUAUUUGAGCCCCAUGGCAGGGCCAAGGGGCUGGAAAUUCCUCUUAUCCUAGGCUGUUUGGGCAGCUUUGCCCUAGUGUCAGCUUUGCUGCUGUGAUUCCCCCUCAUCCACCUCCAUUUGAGCUUGUGGCAAGGACACUUACAGUGUCCCCUCUCCCUGCACUCCUCCCCACACCCCCCAUGCCCCCAGCACCCAAGCUGCUGGUCUCCCUGCAGGCCCCACUGACAUGGACAGUACGGUAGAUCCGGGAGGGUUCGGGGUUUGCAGCAUGACUAAGAUAUGUUGCCAUUGACAAGAUGCUCAUAGGCUGAGUGGGGGAGACAGCCUGGCUUUAGAUCUGGCCUCAUUCUUGCAUCUGUAAGAUGGAUUCAGGCAGGUGCCUCAGCUGAGCAAUACCAACCAUCCUGGGUGUUCCUCACAUCCGCUGAUGCCAGGCCGUCAUGUGUCCCCAUUGACAAGCAUAUACUGAGCACUUCCUAGGUUCCCAGUACUGCCUGGGGUGCUGGGGGGAACUUUUAGUGAACAAAGCUAUUUGCCUCAUAGAGCUUCUGGUUUCGUGGAGAAACAGAGGAAACGUAAAACAACAUAAAUUGUUAUGUCUAUCAAAGUGGUGAUAAUUACUUAAUUGUUACCUUUGCUUCUGCCCUUGGCAUGCCAGGUGCUGCUACUUCUGGGAAAGAUCUAGAUUGUCUGCUGUGGAUAAGACCUCAUUUGCUUAUUCUGAUGUUUUCAUGCAGUCCUUCUCCGCCAGAGUUCCUCAUGGAAACCACAGAACACAGAACAUGAUCUUAGUGACAAUUUUCUCAGCUCUGCCAAGGGUUGUUCAGAACUAGGACCACUCUGGAUGCAGACGAGAGGAGCAAAUGCACUACAUACAAUGGAUGUCUUAGGGCACUGGGCUUUUAUUCCCCCCUCUGCUUCUUUGUGACAAGUUUUCCAUUUUUCAUCCUCUGAACAUUGGUUUCUCUCGCUUCCUGCCUCUUCUGAAACUUUUGUUUUUUAAUCCCCCUUCUUGGAUUAUUUCCUCUAUCCUUUAUCCUCCUGAACACAGAGGAAGAAACAGAAAUACGGAGCAGAGGUACUUUCAUUAGUGAUGAGUGAUGGUUCUUCUUGAUUUGAAAAUCUACACGCAGAGGGGUGGGAUCUAAGACAAAAAUUGUUGCCAUAGGUAGCCAAACAGGACCUUUUUCAGGUUAACCAUUAAGAAAAAAAAUGAAAUCCACUCAUUUCAUGCUCCUCCCUCCACAGCAGCUGACUUUGCUAAUAGAAUAGGGUUCUCCUGGAUUAGGGGGAAAACAGGGCAAAUGAGAAGCUGGGCAGAAGGAGGUGCUCUGCUGAUGGUGGUGGGAUUUGCAGACUGAGUGCGAGAAUAAGAGGCUCUGGUUAUGAGCAGGAGUCCCUGGGGCCACUGUUAUAUCUUUUUCCUCCUGUCUCUUCCCUAGACCCCUGACUCCUUUUUUCAAGGGCAUGAACCCCAUUCAGUGUGGGCAGAGGCUGUGGUCCCUAUUUACUGCGGUCUGGGGUCUCUCUAACCCUGGGUGGAGCACUUGGAGGACAAGGAGAGAAGUAGGACUUCCUCCUAAAAGUGCCCGGCCCAGCUGUGACUUUGGUUCUGAAAGAAGGCCUUGCAGGUUGAAGACAAUGAUUUGUUAUUGUUACUGUUUAAUAUUCAUCAAAUGCUUGUAAUGUGUUGGACGACAUUGAAAAAGAUUUGUGGUGGGUAAAAUUAAACUGAGCUCAGAACUGGCCUGCUGCCUCCAGGUCUGGCAGGCCAAGUUCUGGUUUCUUCUACUUGUCCACAAGAAUGACCUCAACCAACCAGGAAUGGGAAGCCCCCACUACCAUAGCCCUGCUGAUAAUUCUCCUUUAAAAAGGCAUGAAUUCCUAUAAUCUUUCCUGCCUUGGGUUACAGAGGGGAUGAUGCUAUGGUGACCUUCAAGAAUGAAAGAUCCAGGGAUGCAAGGUGACCCAAAAAGGUGGCAAAGCAAAUCAGUGUGAAUGACAUCUUUGAGCCCAAUCUACAACAUCAGCAAAGCUGGGCUUCAGUUUUUUCCCCUUCCCCUGGUUUGGAUGCUGCCUCUGUAAGACAUGUGGACUCCUCUUGCUCCUCCUGCCUCAAGACCACCUGCCAGGAAAUGAUUACGUAUGCUCAUUUGAACUAAAGAAUGUUAAAGAGAGAGAGAGAGUGCGAAUAGGCCAAAAAUGGAGUCACUUAUGCUAAGCCCCAUGUCACCAAGCUGAGACUUAACACUGCACUUAAUUAUAGUUUCAGUCUCCCUCUGGGAAUCUUAAACCAGUCAGUCUGGAAUUACCUGGUCUGCACUAGUGAGGUAAUCUUCCUGAGACACCCCUGAAGCUCCCUGAAGGAAAGUGAUCUUGCCACAACCAGUUCACUCUUUGCUGGUAAUACUUCCUUGUCCCACUCUCUUCUGCCUGCACAAAUUGAGUUGGAAUGACACUAGGCUACCCACCAACCUCAUGAAAGUGUCCAUGAUACAAGGUAAACUGUAAAACACCACACAAUCCCCAAGCCAAUGGCACAUCCCUCUUAGGUAUUAUUUGGCUCCAAGGUACCAAGGCCUAAUGAAAGAAAUGUGAUCCUUAAGUUCUGAAGACUUGAGUGUGCUAUUUUCUGUUAUACUUGCUUAUUUUAUGUCCAAGAACUGUGGUCCUAGAAACUAAAAGUAUCUACAAAAGGGCAAAAUCUUAACUAAAAACAACUUAAAAUACAAUGACCAUUAUGGGGAGUGUUCCAAUCAGACAAGAUCAUUCUUUGAAGACAUGCACUUGAAAGCAAGGAUUGCUGGGUUAAAAAGACAGAAUAGGAUACGUAUUUUAAUUGGUAUUCACAAGCUUCCGAAGGCUUCAAGAUUUCAAAAUAGCUUUUUCUGAAAGAUUCAUUGCAAAAGCUAAUGAAAAAUUAAAGACACAAGAGGUACCUAAAACAAAAGACUGCAAGGCUGACAUGACUCCUUCUGCUCCUCUCUCUCCUCUUUUACCUGUGUCCUCAUUCCAGUUAUCCUCUGUCUGAAUUGUCUUUCCCUUCUGAACAGAUUACGCAACCAUAAACAGAAGUCUACCAAGUUAAUGACCUUACAGAUAUCCCUGAUAUUUACCUUUGAAGAAGCACUCCCAGGAUGUGCUCUGGGACUCUUGAGGGAUUUUUCUGGUAAACCUCUGUGUUAUUCCCUUAAACAGCCAAGGGAAACUAAAAUUAAAAUUACGGGAAAAUGUUCUGGCAGAUAACGGAGCCUACAGAUGGGAUCCUGGGAAAACUGGCAAAAACCAGGAAAGAGUAAGUCUUCUUACCAUAAUCUCUGCCUGUAGUUUCUACUCAAGGCAAGAAAAUAAAAUUUCCUGUGAUUCCUUCCUUUCCAAAUCCAGACCCGUUGGCUAUUAAUCCUUUCUUUCCCAGGGACAGCCAUUACCUUCUCAUUUGUCUUGUUUUGUGUCCUGAUAAUUUGGCUUUGUAAUGGUCAGAUUGGAAGCCCCAAAAUAUGGCCAGACAGAAAUGUGGUUUGCACCCCAUUUGUGGCAGUCUAUGCGUAGACAGAAAUAUGGGCUGAACUCCAUGUGUGGCUGGGAUCCUACCUGCCAGCCCUCAUGGGAAUUGUCAAAGUCUUGCUUUCUUCUGGUUAUCUUUGGGAGUGGCUCUGGAUCCUAGGAGUAGUAUCUUUUAUACCCUCUUUGUGCUUGCCUAUUACAUCCACGGCAGGUUAUUUAGUAUUUCCAGGAAUAUUUACUCUUUGUCUUGACUGAAAUCUAAGGUGUUUGAAAGGAUUUUUUUUAAGUACCUCUGUGGUCAGAGGUUGGCCAAAUUGAAAGCUGAUUUUCAGAGCCUGAUAGAAAUUUUGUUAGGUCUUCUCUCCUAAGCUAAAUGUACCUGGGGCCAGGAGGGAGGAGCACGUUCUGAAACCUUUUUGAAGGGAUUUACUAAGAGAUUCCAAAGCACAGCUAUAAAUCCAGAACAUAGAAAUAAUGUGGUUUGAUAGGCAGAUCAGCUCCUUGAUAUAAUUUUGGCUGCAGCCCAACUCUUUGAGUAAUUAAAAGCAACUGGCAUUAUCUUACAAAUCUUUGCAAAACAAGAAAUACAGCUCUAGAAACAAUUUAAAAUCCACUUGUUUUUUUUUGGCCAGUCCCAGAAAUUCCCCUAUUUAUCUCAAAAAGCUUGUAAGUAUUGUAAAAAUUCUGACCUUAGGAAACAAAAUCCCUUCUUGAAGCUACUGGUAUUCUUUCCCAUGCCUUUGAGAUGUAAGUGUUCUACCUGGUCUUCUCCAGAAACUCUUAUCUAGGUCACCUCUUUGAAAUGGGAAUUUCAGGGAGGAAACUCUCAAUGGAAGGAAAACAAAGAGGGGAAAGAUGAUUUGCAACUUUGGUGAAUGAAAACUCUUAACUGUGCUAUAGCCACUGAACACGGAACCUUAAGUUAUUCCUUCUGCCAGAAACACAACUGGGAUCUAACUUCUUUUAUAACCAGUGCUCUUUGUAUUAGUUUACCUGAUUCAUUGCCAGAACUUCAGAAUGAAAUCUGCAUCUCUGUUUGUGUCUGUCUGUAGAUUUAUGUGUGUCUCCAUAUUUAUAUGUUAUAAAUGUGUGAUAUUUUUCUACCUCCAGAUUAUAUUGCUAAAUUAAUUUA